rnacentral:rRNA from 1 species
UACGUAGGGUGCGAGCGUUAAUCGGAAUUACUGGGCGUAAAGCGUGCGCAGGCGGUUCGUUGUGUCCGAUGUGAAAGCCCCGAGCUUAACUUGGGAAUGGCAUUGGAAACUGGCGAGCUGGAGUGUGGCAGAGGGGGGUGGAAUUCCCGGUGUAGUGGUGAAAUGCGUAGAUAUCGGGAGGAACACCAGUGGCGAAGGCGGCCAACUGGACGAAUACUGACGCUGAGACUCGAAAGCGUGGGGAGCAAACAGG